UACGUAGGCAGCGAGCGUUGUUCGGAGUUCCUGGGCGUAAAGGGUGCGCAGGCGGUGGAGCAAGUCUGUUGUGAAAUCUCCCGGCUUAACCGGGAGGGUGCGGCGGAAACUGUUCUGCUGGAGUGAGGGAGAGGCAAGCGGAAUUCCUGGUGUAGCGGUGAAAUGCGUAGAUAUCAGGAGGAACACCCGUGGUGCAGACGGCUUGCUGGACCUCCACUGACGCUGAGGCACGAAAGCGUGGGGAGCAAACAGG
rnacentral:rRNA from 1 species